rnacentral:rRNA from 1 species
UACGUAGGUGGCAAGCGUUGUCCGGAAUUAUUGGGCGUAAAGCGCGCGCAGGCGGUCCUUUAAGUCCGAUGUGAAAGCCCACGGCUCAACCGUGGAGGGUCAUUGGAAACUGGGGGACUUGAGUGCAGGAGAGAAGAGUGGAAUUCCACGUGUAGCGGUGAAAUGCGUAGAGAUGUGGAGGAACACCAGUGGCGAAAGCGACUUUCUGGUCCUUAACUGACGCUGAGGCGCGAAAGCAUGGGGAGCGAACGGG